CUGGCUCAGGAUGAACGCUGGCGGCGUGCCUAAUACAUGCAAGUCGAGCGAGAACUUGAUGAUGGAAGAUUCGUCUGAAAGAUCAAGGGAAAGCGGCGGACGGGUGAGUAACGCGUAGGCAACCUGCCCUUAGCAGAGGGAUAGCCAUUGGAAACGAUGAUUAAAACCUCAUAACGCUUUGGAGACACAUGUCUUAAAAGCCAAAGAUUUAUCGGCUAAGGAUGGGCCUGCGUCUGAUUAACUGGUUGGUGAGGUAACGGCUCACCAAGGUGACGAUCAGUAGCCGACCUGAGAGGGUGAUCGGCCACAUUGGAACUGAGACACGGUCCAAACUUCUACGGAAGGCAGCAGUAAGGAAUCUUGCACAAUGGGGGGAAACCCUGAUGCAGCAACGCCGCGUGAACGAAGAAGGCCUUCGGGUUGUAAAGUUCUGAUCUUGGGGAAGAAGGAAGUGACGGUACCCAAGGAGAAAGCCCCGGCUAACUACGUGCCAGCCGCCGC
rnacentral:rRNA from 1 species